rnacentral:rRNA from 1 species
ACAUGCUUACAAUAUAGUGUCAAUGCACCAGAUCCCAUUAGAACUCCACAGUUAAGCGCGCUUAGGCUAGAGUAGUAUUGGGAUGGGUGACCUAUCGGGAAUUGUUCUCCUCUC